AUUGAACGCUGGCGGCAUGCUUUACACAUGCAAGUCGAACGGUAACAGGCCGCAAGGUGCUGACGAGUGGCGAACGGGUGAGUAAUGCAUCGGAACGUGCCCAGUCGUGGGGGAUAACUACUCGAAAGAGUAGCUAAUACCGCAUACGAACUAUGGAUGAAAGCGGGGGACCGUAAGGCCUCGCGCGAUUGGAGCGGCCGAUGUCAGAUUAGGUAGUUGGUGGGGUAAAGGCUCACCAAGCCAACGAUCUGUAGCUGGUCUGAGAGGACGACCAGCCACACUGGGACUGAGACACGGCCCAGACUCCUACGGGAGGCAGCAGUGGGGAAUUUUGGACAAUGGGCGCAAGCCUGAUCCAGCAAUGCCGCGUGCAGGAAGAAGGCCUUCGGGUUGUAAACUGCUUUUGUACGGAACGAAACGGCUCUGGUUAAUACCCGGGGCUAAUGACGGUACCGUAAGAAUAAGCACCGGCUAACUACGUG
rnacentral:rRNA from 1 species